rfam:Xenopus laevis strain J chromosome 3L, whole genome shotgun sequence.
UAAAAGGUUGUCUUAACAACCAAACCAUUUUAUUUAAAGACAUUAG